GAUGAACGCUCGCGGCAGGCCUAACACAUGCAAGUCGAGCGAAAAGCCCUUUCGGUGGCUGAUAUCGGGGCAGGGGCGCGUAAGGGGUAUACAACCUACUUCUCACAGUGGGAUAGCGCGAAGAAAUUGGGACUAAUACCCCAUAACAUUAUUAGAUGGUGCCAUUUGAUAAUUAAAAGUGCGGUGGGGAAAGAUGGGCAGGUGUCGUAUUAGCUAGUCGGAGUGGUAACGUCACCACAAGGCCACGGUAGGAAGGGGUCCGGGGGGGGAGAUCCCCCACACUGGUACUGGGACCGGGACCAGACACGUACGGGAGGCAGCAGUAAGGAAUAUUGGUCAAUGGACGGAAGACUGAACCAGCCAUGCCGGGUGCAGGAAGAAUGCGUUAUGGAUUGUAGACUGCUUUUAUAUAAGAAGAAUAGGGUGUACGUGUACAUUGAUGACGGUACCAUAUGAAUAAGCAUCGGCUAACUCCGUG
rnacentral:rRNA from 1 species